GAUGAACGCUGGCGGCGUGCCUAAUACAUGCAAGUCGAGCGAACGGACGAGAAGCUUGCUUCUCUGAUGUUAGCGGCGGACGGGUGAGUAACACGUGGAUAACCUACCUAUAAGACUGGGAUAACUUCGGGAAACCGGAGCUAAUACCGGAUAAUAUUUUGAACCGCAUGGUUCAAAAGUGAAAGACGGUCCUGCUGUCACUUAUAGAUGGAUCCGCGCUGCAUUAGCUAGUUGGUAAGGUAACGGCUUACCAAGGCAACGAUGCAUAGCCGACCUGAGAGGGUGAUCGGCCACACUGGAACUGAGACACGGUCCAGACUCCUACGGGAGGCAGCAGUAGGGAAUCUUCCGCGAUGGGCGAAAGCCUGACGGAGCAACGCCGCGUGAGUGAUGAAGGUCUUCGGAUCGUAAAACUCUGUUAUUAGGGAAGAACAUAUGUGUAAGUAACUGUGCACAUCUUGACGGUACCUAAUCAGAAAGCCACGGCUAACUACG
rnacentral:rRNA from 1 species